GACUUCAGGACACGUGGUCGCGCGGGUCGCUGCGCGGGAAGAUUGGGGGCGGCAGAGCUUGCGUCCAGUGUUACUAGACAUCCAGACCUGAAAAGCAUCCUGUCAGAAUCUGCAGAAUUUCAAAAGGAUUGAUGGGUUUGUAUGGAAGUUUUCAGCGUUCAGAAGCAUUAAAUCCUGCCCAACACCUGACCCGGGGGAGCGCUGAGCUUGGCCGCCGACCGCCGCCCGCACCUGCUCCCCCGCAGGGCCCCGUGUGCGGGGGCACAGCCCUGCGGAAACUUGUUGCCCCUGCAUUCCAGACCAAGGACACCGUGCUCGGAUGUGGACACGCUCGCCCGCGCCCGCUGCCCCUGUUACGUAAGCGCUGGAAAUGCGCCGGCGUGCCUGCGUAUGCAGUCUAUCAUCUGCGUAGCUGCUGCAGCGCAAAUAAACCGUGACUUGCUACGCAAACCUUCUCACACACCAGCAACUGCUCGCCACUGCACGCCUUCACCUGCCGGCUGGAACACUCACUCUUCACCCUCAUAGGUGAGGCUGGUGCUAAUUCGCUCCCUGCCUGCCCUGACCUGUCCCUCUGUCCUCCACGAGGGCUUCCCUGGAGGCUCAGAUGGUAAAGAAUCCGCCUGCGGUGUUGGAGACAUGGGUUCUACCCCUGGGUUGGGAAGAUCCCCUGGAGGAGGGCGUGACAACUCACUCCAGUCUUCUUGCCUGGAAAAUCCUGUGGACAGAGGAGCCUGGCGGGCUACAGUCUGAGGUCUCAAAGAGUCGGACAUGACUUAGCGACUAAGCACUGCAUAAUACACCCUCCAAAGAGCCCUUCCUGCUAAGCAGGCAAGAUGUGUUCUCAAGCCCUGCAGUCUUUUCCUCGCUCCUGGAAUGCCCUGCGUGCCUGCCUGCUCCACCCUACAAGUUUCAAGGUUACGCUGAGAUGGAACCCCCUCUGUGAAUGCUUCCUGGAUGUCGCCUUCCAUCUAGGUGACUUGUCACAUCCAAGGUCAGGAGCAGCUGCAUCAGACAACUUGGAAGAGAAUGCAUUCCUGAAGGGAAUGAACAUGGGAGGGAGGUUUGGAAAAUGGUACCAAAAAAUAAAUGCCGUCAAGGCUGCAUGAACUUUGAGUCAUUGUAGUCUGAGAUGCCCUUUCCUGGAGCAAAGAACUGACAGACCUGUCGUGUGCAUGCGUGCAAGCUCAGUUGCUUCGGUCAUGUCUGACUGUU